ensembl:lncRNA
AAUUGAUCUUCAGAGGAGCAAAUAGCCAACACCAGGUAUUAAUGAUCUCGGGCUAGCCCCUCACCACUCAGGACUCUUUAAAGAGAUCCAAAGGAUUGGCUUAUUUCUUUUUGCUAGAGGAUGAUGCACCUGAGCAGGGACAUGGUUCAUCAACUUCUUGUUUCUGGACUCUCUGGCUUUAAUUUGUGAGUGCAAGUGAAACUCACAUAGGCAUCUUCCUUUAUGAAGCAGAGGCUCCUUGGAGGCUGAUGGACUUUCACUGAAAUCUCAACUGUCUCCUGAAAGUGGCAACACUGAAAAAGUACGUGGCUGUGACAGCUACUGGCUGUCUCUAACAGCUAUGCUAUUUACCAUUUCCCCAGCCAGAAGCUCGGGGUGCAGUCUGAGCAGGUUCAUCCUUCAGUCAGUGGCAGAAGAGAGAGACGCCUCCCCCAUUUCAUGAAGUUGAAAGUGUUUGUGUCAAAUCAGAUCCAAUACUCCCUUGGUUAAUACUCUCCAUAGCCUCAUUGCCAGCAGAUGCUGUGGGAAGCUUGAAGAUCAGGGCAGAUUCUUCGGGACGUUAUCAAAGACUCAUCUCCCAUCAGUCUGAAGCUCAAGGCACUCCUGAGCUCAUGCAUGUCCUUGGUGACAAACAUCACUGAGGUGAAUCACCUUCUGGGAAGACUUCUACUGAUUGUGAUGGGGACUGACAAGAGUAGCUUAGCUGGGACACCUAAGAUGAGAUUCUUCCCACUGAAUAUUAUGCUCAACAAGGAUUUGGUUUAGAAUCACAAAAUCGUUGGAGUUGAAAGGGACCCUGAAGACCAUCUGGUCCAACUCCCCUGCAAUGAACAGGGACACCCACAGCUCCAUCAGGUGCUCAGAGCUCCAUCCAGCCUGACCUUGGGUGUCUGCAGGGAUGGGAUAUCCACCACCUCUCUGGGCAACCUGUGCCCAUGCCUCACCACACUUAGAUUUGGCACUAUACACUUUGCAAUUGUAUUUCUCCUGAUAGCCAAGCUGGUAAGAUUCAAGUGAUUGCACUCCUUUUUAAUGCUGGUGGGAGAUAAUGAACAUUGGGAAGGUCUCUUCUUUACAACAGGACUUAAAUAAGGCCAUCAGAAUGUUGAGAUCACUAUUUGAAUGGAAUGCAUCUUCUGAGGGAAGAGAUUUCCUUCCGGGCCUGGACUUCAAGGGCCAUAAAUGUUUUUACAGCUACAAUACAUUGAAUGACUCCAACCAAAAGAGACCAUGUGAUCAUGCAAGCAAACCCAAACAAGCAAACAGUCAUCUUUUCAAAGAACAAAAGGUCAAAGGGGGGCAGGGCCAUGAGGUCCUAGCCUGGAAAAACAGACCCCUUAUCAGGCAAGGGUCAGGGCAGUGCACAUGAAGACAUCAUACACAUUGGGAGGGACUGAGCCUUUCCAACUAAAAAAGUACUAUUCUCUGUCACAUGGAAACAAUAGCUCAGCACUGUGAAGGCAUCUGGUUUAGUUCAUGGGAACAAGAUUUUUCUCGCUCCCCGUGGGUUCAGUGCAUGAAUGCUCUGAGACUCUUUAGUUCUGUGUCUGUCUUUGCUGGCAGAACACCCUCCAGUGGGUACACAGCUACCCAAAUUGCCCAACUGAAAGGAGUGCUCCAGCAGCAACCAGGACCCAACCUUUGCUCUAGGAAGCCUUGAACCUCCCAUGACAUUUCAGUUCUCCUCACCUCCUUUGCUAACCCUGGGAUUGCUGGCUCCCCACCUGCUAGCAAAAGGCUUCCCUUUCCCCAAGCAUUUCAAGUGAAACCCAAGGCCAAGCACAGUGCUGCACCUUGCAAUAGUUCUCCCAUUUUUUUUUUAUCUAGUUUAAUAAUGAUAUU